rnacentral:tRNA from 1 species
GCCGGCUUAGCUCAGUUGGUAGAGCAAAUCAUUCGUAAUGAUUAGGUCGUCGGUUCGACUCCGAUAGCCGGCU